UGUGCUGGAAAUUUCCAUUGAUGACCUCUUGUCAACAACGUACUUUACCCGUUAUUUUGAAGCAUUUAUAUUGUUGAGCCGCGUCAUGGAAUCGAGAGCUCCAAGUGGGCCAUUUUUGGUAAGCAGAACUGGCAAUGCGGGAUGAACCGGAAGCUGGGUUACGGUGCCCAACUGGGCGCUAACCUAGACCCCACGAAGGGUGUUGGUUGAUUAAGACAGCAGGGCGGUGGUCAUGGAAGUCGAAAUCCGCUAAGGAGUGUGUAACAACUCACCUACUGAAUCAACUAGCCCCAAAAAUGGAUGGCGCUAAAGCGCGCGACCUAUACCCGACCGUCGGGGCAAGGACCAAGCCCCGAUGAGUAAAGGGCGCGACGGUCGCUGCAAAACCCAGGGCGCGAGCCCGGGCAGAUCGGUCAUCGGUG
rnacentral:ncRNA from 1 species